rnacentral:rRNA from 1 species
GGCAAAGGAUGUGCGUCCGCCCAGACAACCAGGAUGUUGGCUUAGAAGCAGCCAUGCAUUCAAAGAGUGCGUAACAGCUCACUGGUCGAGUGGGGGCGCGCCGACAAUGCGCGGGGCUCAAGCACGGCGCCGAAGCGGCGGAAUCAAGCAAUUGAUUGGUAGGGGAGCUUUCCAUGCCGGGCGAAGCCGGAGGCGCGAGCCCCGGUGGACGGCAUGGAAGUGAGGAUGCAGGCAUGAGUAGCGAGAGAGCGGCGAGAAACCGCUCCGCCGAAAACCCAAGGUUUCCUGGGCGAGGCUAAUCCCCCCAGGGUCAGCCGGGAGCUAAGGCGAGGCCGGAAGGCGCAGCCGAUGCACGACGGGCAGACAUUCCCGUGCCGGCGCGGGCGCGCUACGACCGAUGGGACGACGGGGAAGGAUACGCGAGCGGGGUUCUGGACGUCCCCGUGAAAGCGCGUAGGGAGGGGCCCAGGGAAAUCCGGUCCCCACACAUCCCGAGACGCGAGACGAGCCGCACGGCGAAGUCGCGGAUUCCAUGCCUCCUAGAAAAAUCCCUAGGCAGCGCCCACGCCGCCCGUACCAAAACCGACACAGGUGGGUAGGAAGAGCAUUCCGAGGCGAUCGGGGCAACCAUGGUCAAGGAACUCGGCAUAAUCGUCCCGUAACUUAGGGAGAAGGGACGCCCCCCAGCGUGUACCGGCUCGCCCGGGAAGCGCCGGGGGGCCGCAGCGAAAGGGCCCAAGCGACUGUUUACCAAAAACACAGGACUCUGCCAAGCCGCGAGGCGAAGUAUAGGGUCUGACGCCUGCCCGGUGCCGGAAGGUCACGGGGAUCCGUUAGCCUUUGGCGAAGCGGUGAACCCAAGCCCCGGUAAACGGCGGCCGUAACUAUAACGGUCCUAAGGUAGCGAAAUUCCUUGUCGGGUAAGUUCCGACCUGCACGAACGGCGCAACGACUUGGGCGCUGUCUCGACCAUGGGCCCGGCGAAAUUGCAUUAUCCGUGAAGAUGCGGAUUCCCCGCGGAAGGACGGAAAGACCCCGUGAACCUUUACUGCAGCUUGGCAUUGGCCGCAGGCGCGGCGCGUAGAGGAUAGGCAGGAGGCUGCGAAGCCCGGGCGCCAGCCCGGGCGGAGCCGACCUUGGAAUACUGCCCCCGUCGCGUCGGCGGCCUAACCCGGGGACGGCCCGGGGACCGUGCCAGGCGGGCAGUUUGACUGGGGCGGUCGCCUCCCAAAGAGUAACGGAGGCGCGCGCAAGGUCCGCUCAGGACGGUCGGCAACCGUCCGAAGAGCGCAAGAGCACAAGCGGGCCUGACUGCGAGGCAGACAAGCCGAGCAGGGACGAAAGUCGGCUCUAGUGAUCCGGCGGCCCCGAGUGGAAGGGCCGUCGCUCAACGGAUAAAAGGUACUCCGGGGAUAACAGGCUGAUCUUGCCCAAGAGUCCACAUCGACGGCAAGGUUUGGCACCUCGAUGUCGGCUCAUCGCAUCCUGGGGCUGGAGUCGGUCCCAAGGGUACGGCUGUUCGCCGUUUAAAGCGGUACGCGAGCUGGGUUCAGAACGUCGUGAGACAGUUCGGUCCCUAUCCUCCGUGGGCGCAGGAGAAUCGAUGGAGGCUGCCCCCAGUACGAGAGGACCGGGGUGGACGCACCUCCGGUGAACCGGUUGUCGACCAACGGCACGGCCGGGUAGCCGCGUGCGGCGCGGAUAACCGCUGAAGGCAUCUAAGCGGGAAGCCGUUCCAGGGAUUAGUUCUCCUUCCGGUAAGGGCCCAGGUAGACUACCUGGUCGAUAGACGGCAGGUGCAAGGCUGGCGACAGCCUCAGCCGAGCCGCACUAAUCGCCCGAGCUCUUCCGGA